rnacentral:lncRNA from 1 species
GUUUUAUCUCAGUUGCUUUCACUUCCAGGGUAGCCUUCCCAGAAUGAAUAGAAGAAUAAGCGUACAGAGACAAUGCAAGAAACAGAAGACAAGGACAUGCCAUCACCUUUGUGCUUUUAGACAAAUUCCCUUGAACAAUCUGACCCUCAAGUGAUGCUCCCGCUGUUCUCAUUGCCAGAGAGGGCUCUAUGACCCACUCCUCCCACUGUGAACUACUUCGUUUUAUUUUCUACCUUCCUGAAAUUGAACUUGAAUUGCCAUCAUCCUCCUGUGGAUUAUUUCCUAUGUGUCAGCCACUAUUGAGAUGGCGCUCUAAAACACUUGCCAGAAGGUGGCGACAGAAGCCCUUUUUGCCCAGAUCUGUCCCAGGUGCUGAACCCAGUUUUGGAGCUGAAGAGAAACUGCGGGGCCAGAGACCAGGGAUUCCACCAAGUUCUCCCUAGAGGUUUGCAAGCUCUGGUAAGAAAAACAAAAGACCGCAUAAAAUGCCCGAUCUCAUUUACGGCACAUAGGCAAAAGAUCCCCUUCCCUACAUUUACUCGCCA